UGGGAGGCCAAGGCAAGAGAACUGUUGAAGGUCAGGAGUUGGAGACCAACCAGCCCAGGGAAUAUAUAGGGAGACCCUAUCUCUUAAAAAAAAAAAAAAUUACCUGGGCAUGGUGGCAUAUGCCUGUGGUUCCAGCUACUCAGGAGGCUGAGGCAGUAGGAUUGCUUGAGCCCAGGAGUUUGAGGCUGCACUGAGCCGUGAUCACACCACUGCAUUCCAGACUAGGUACAGAGCGAGUCUAUGUGGAGUGCAAUGUCUCUAAAAAAAAAAAAAUACCCAAAAUAUAAACAGGGACUAUGAGGUAUGUACAGGAAAUUAAUAGCUGAAGAAUAUUUUACCAUGUUCAAAAACUAAAUUCUUCAUGUGGCUGAGAGAAGAAAGAAAAAAAUGGUAUGUUUGUGUUCCAUUUGCAGGUAUUACAUAAACCCAUUUUAAAUGAACUAAAAUGCCUAGGAUUUGGGGGGGAAAAAUUAUCUUGUGCUCGCAUUUGAAGGUUCUUCUCAGAAAUAAACUGUUUAAAGAGA
rnacentral:lncRNA from 10 species